UACGAAGGGGGCUAGCGUUGCUCGGAAUCACUGGGCGUAAAGGGUGUGUAGGCGGGGCUUUAAGUCAGGGGGGAAAUCCUGGAGCUCAACUCCAGAACUGCCUUUGAUACUGAAGAUCUUGAGUUCGGGAGAGGUGAGUGGAACUGCGAGUGUAGAGGUGAAAUUCGUAGAUAUUCGCAAGAACACCAGUGGCGAAGGCGGCUCACUGGCCCGAUACUGACGCUGAGGCACGAAAGCGUGGGGAGCAAACAGG
rnacentral:rRNA from 1 species